rnacentral:lncRNA from 1 species
ACGUCACCCACAGAUGGAGUGUGGAAUCAGCAGUGUCUGGGAGAUUCCCAAACAUGCGAAAUAAAUAUCGAUUUUUGGUUUGGAAAAUAGAAUCACUUCUUAUAAUUGUGUUAUUUAAUAUAAAGUGCAAUAGACUGAUUAUCUUCUAAGAAUGUAUCAAUAUGAGCCUGGUGUGGUGACGCACGCCUUUAAUCCCAGCACUUGGGAGGCAGAGGCAGGUGGAUUUCUGAGUUUGAGGCCAGCCUGGUCUACAGAGUGAGUUCCAGGACAGCCAGGACUACACAGAGAAACCCUGUCUCAAAAAAAAAACAAAAACAAAAACAAAAACAAAAAACAAAAAACCAAAACCCAAACAAGCAAAAAAGAAUGUAUCAGUAUAAGAUUUUAAAUUGUUACCAAUUUUAACUUGAACACAAUAGAUUAAUAAAAUACAAAAGAAAGCUAUCAGGGCAUUCAUCGGGCUCCAUUUCCAGCUCCAAACCUCCAGUGAACAUGACUGUGAAGUUUAAGGGGCUCCUAGGCCAAAAGUUUGAGAACUACUGGGUUUGCAUAUCUUCCUCCUCUGAGAUGUGUUUUAAAAGGGCACUGUCAAGUAACUUUUGCUGACUCUCCAUCCUUUGGUAACGUGAGACUUAUUCGUGUGUUAGAUGGGAUUUCACAAGAGCUAGAGAUUCUUGGAGCCAGCCCUGGGCAGGCAGUGGCUCCACUCUUCAGCAUCUAGACACCAGGCUUUCUGAAGAGCUGCCUUCCCGUGAGGCACGCCACUGUUCGGCCAGCAUCUGGUUGGUUCCCCGCAGGGCAGUAAGAAGACAGAUGCAGAUCCACGAGACAGUUUGCUGGUUCUGGGAUUUUCCUGCGAGCCGUGGGCUCUCUGCUAGGUGGGGUAGCAUGCUGCACAGGUCCAGCUCGGUCCAGCUUAGGAAUGUGUGGAUGAUUGUGGUUGGCAGGUCCAAAGAUGUGAGCAAGCCCUAGGAGCAUGAACAGUGAGAGCCCAGCAUCCUGGUUGAGCCUUGGAUGAGCCUCUUUAACUAGCUCCCAGAAUUUAGUCUUUUCUUCCAAACGUGGAGGCAAGCUUUGGGGUCUAGAGGGCCCCACCUGCCCCCAGUCUGCAGUCCUCUGAUUAUUCUGAUGUGGCCAAGUGGGGCUGAGGUGCAGCUGCCCAUGGUUGGGUCAAGAGGAAUGGGACCAGGAAUGGUACCUGCAGGGAGCUCAAAGAGCCAUUGACAUCCCAAUAGGUUAAGGUCAUGUGUGGGCAGAGUCACUUUAAAGUUCCAUCUGUUAGAAAAGGGAUAGAAAUCUGCUUUGGGGUGCUGGAUUGGAAGUGUAGGCCGGGGGUUAAUUAGAGCUGUGCAGAAUGGUCAUUGAGUAGAAAGCCAUAUCUGCAUUGGGACAUAAGGGCCUUCAGGAUAGACUCUUCUAAACACAACCAGUCAAGACUCUCGUCUUCUGGAGGAAGUGGCCCAGAGCAGGUAGCAGAGGGCAGGAGCUGUAGGCUUGGUUGCCAUGGCAGCCUGCUGAGGGUUGAAGUGUGCUUGCUGACAGGUUGGUGAGAGGGUUACUGGUUGGUUUGUUCACUGGCCUCUUGGGCUUUCUCUGAAAGGACACCCAGUGCCCAAUGCAAAUGUCUUCAGUGCCAGCUGUUUAAAAAGUAAGAAAUGAGAUGGCAUCUGUGCCAAGCCACACCUGGACAUCUCUGGCUUCCAUUUGACCGCUAAAUCACAGCCCUGGCUGGAGGAAACCAGGGACAGUGAACUCAACCUGUAUGGGCUGUCUUUCUGAUUUAUGCCUCCACAGAGGGAUUGGCUGUCUUCCUAACCCCUGGGCCAGCCUCAGCCCACUGUCUAUCCGUGACUCUGUCUUGCCCUUCUGAAUAACUGGGUGUAGUUUUACCUAGGACAAGGCAGGAAGGACCCACUGUGGAGAACAUCCAGAAGUUUGUUUGAAGGCCUGAACAUACAGUUAGCCCUUCUGUCCUUGGAUUAGGGGCACACAACUCUCUGCCACUCUUCAAAGGUCCCUGUGUUUGGGAAAGAUUUGGGGAGAAGGCUUUGAUGUAGCAGGAAGGUUUUUGAAACCUGCCAAGGAAGGGCUCGUCUUUAAC